rnacentral:rRNA from 1 species
AUGGCCAAGAAGCCGAAGCUCUUCUCCGCCCUGCUCUCCUUCCUCCUCCACGGGACUAGGCCUCCGAUCUCCAGCCGGGUCACUGCCACCGCCAUGACUGAAUCGUCACCGCACCCUUCCUCGCUGCACCACCUCGGCAGAUCCUCACAUCCUCCCAUGGCAGAGAAGAUCGCCGCCGGGCGAACCCUCGUCCUCGACGUGGACGCCGCGCUCCUUGUCCCAUCGUCGUCAUCCCUCUUCCCCUACUUUAUGCUCGUGGCUCUCGAGGCUGGAGGAUACGUACGAGGCCUCGUACUCCUCCUCCUCUACCCAAUCAUCUUAAGCAUGGGCCGCGCCAGCGAUGUGGCAGUGAGGGUGAUGGCCAUGGUGGCCUUCUGCGGGCUGCGCGCGAGCCGGUUCCGUGCCGGCCGCGCCGUGCUACCCAAGUAG